GACGAACGCUGGCGGCGUGCUUAACACAUGACAAGUCGAACGAGAGGACAAGAGAAGCUUGCUUCUUUUGGAAUCGAGUGGCAAACGGGUGAGUAACACGUAAACAACCUGCCUUCAGGAUGGGGACAACAGACGGAAACGACUGCUAAUACCGAAUACGCUUGGGAGACCGCAUGAUCUUCCAAGGAAAGGGUGGCCUCUACUUGUAAGCUAUCGCCUGAAGAGGGGUUUNCGUCUGAUUAGGCGAGUUGGUGACGGUAACGGCCCACCAAACCUACGAUCAGUAGCCGGUCUGAGAGGAUGAACGGCCACUACUGGAACUGAGACACGGUCCAGACUCCUACGGAGGCAGCAGUGGGGAAUCUUCCGCAAUGGGCGAAACGCCGUGACCGGAGCAACGCCGCGUGAGUGAUGACGGCC
rnacentral:rRNA from 1 species